GUGAGGAAUAUUGGUCAAUGGGCGUAAGCCUGAACCAGCCAAGUCGCGUGAGGGAUGAAGGUUCUAUGGAUCGUAAACCUCUUUUAUAAGGGAAUAAAGUGCGGGACGUGUCCUGUUUUGUAUGUACCUUAUGAAUAAGGAUCGGCUAACUCCGUGCCAGCAGCCGCGGUAAUACGGAGGAUCCGAGCGUUAUCCGGAUUUAUUGGGUUUAAAGGGUGCGUAGGCGGCCUUUUAAGUCAGCGGUGAAAGUCUGUGGCUCAACCAUAGAAUUGCCGUUGAAACUGGGAGGCUUGAGUAUGUUUGAGGCAGGCGGAAUGCGUGGUGUAGCGGUGAAAUGCUUAGAUAUCACGCAGAACCCCGAUUGCGAAGGCAGCCUGCCAAGCCAUGACUGACGCUGAUGCACGAAAGCGUGGGGAUCAAACAGGAUUAGAUACCCUAGUAGUCC
rnacentral:rRNA from 1 species